rnacentral:misc_RNA from 1 species
AGUUUUAAUUAUAUCUUUAAAUAUGUAUGCAUUUCAUGAAUUUUGCAAAUUUUUCAAAAAAAUUUACGUAGCAACAGGCUGUUACCGUUACGCUACGGCUGUUAUAGGCCCGUUUCCAUUACUCGCGACCACAACUGCGAUUUAAAACCAUGAUUACAACAAUGCCCAGACACAUAAAAUAUGUUAAAUAUCAUAAAGACAAAUGCAGCAACAAAGUCAAAUAAUCUGUUGGUAAGACAUUUAUGCCAUUAACUCCUUACUUAUCAAUUGACCAUAUUUCUUGCCAAAGGCUUGAAAGCAAUUUCAUACAACUAAGUUAGUCAACAUAUCUCAUAUCUAUUAAAAGACAAAUGUCGUAAUUGCCACCAGCUUGGUCCUCAUUGUGCUCUCAAAAAAAUAGAGACAAACACAAUAUGUUGGUAAACUUCCACUUACUGAAGCAGAGAAGUUUCCAGCAUAUCCACAUGCUAUACACAAAGGACUAAAUGGAUGAGAUAUCAAUAAGUGAUCCAAAUACUCAAUGGUCGCAAAAACCAAUGCUUUUGUUAUUACCUUG